AAAGGCUUGGUCCUGACUUUACUAUCAACUAUAGCAGUAUUUACACAUGCAAGUAUCCGCACCCCUGUGAGAAUGCCCCUAGUCUCCUCUAAAGGAAAUAAGGAGCCGGUAUCAGGCACACCUAUCGUAGCCCAUGACACCUUGCUUAGCCACACCCCCAAGGGAAUUCAGCAGUGAUAAAUAUUAAGCCAUAAGCGAAAGCUUGACUUAGUUAAAGCUAAUUUAGAGCCGGUCAAAACUCGUGCCAGCCACCGCGGUUAGACGAAAGGCUCAAGCUGAUAGUUUUCGGCGUAAAGAGUGGUUAGGAAUUUAGAAAACUAAAGCUGAAAUUUCUCAUGGCUGUUAUACGCAUCCGAGAACAUGAAACACACAUACGAAAGUAGCUUUAAAUAAUCUGACCCCACGAAAGCUGUGGAACAAACUGGGAUUAGAUACCCCACUAUGCACAGCCGUAAACUUAGAUAAGAUUUUACAAUAUUAUCCGCCUGGGUACUACGAGCAUUAGCUUAAAACCCAAAGGACUUGGCGGUGCUUUAGAUCCACCUAGAGGAGCCUGUUCUAGAACCGAUAAUCCCCGUUAAACCUCACCCCCUCUGGUUAUUUUCCGCCUAUAUACCGCCGUCGUCAGCCCACCCUGUGAAGGAACUACAGUGAGCUUAAUUGGCAUAGCCCAAAACGCCAGGUCGAGGUGUAGCAUAUGAGGGGGGAAGAAAUGGGCUACAUUUCCUAUCUUAGGAUACUACGAAUUGCCCUAUGAAAUAAGAGCAUGAAGGAGGAUUUAGUAGUAAGUGAAAAAAAGAGUGUUUCACUGAAUCCGGCCCUGAAGCGCGCACACACCGCCCGUCACUCUCCCCAAGCUUACAUAUUAAUAUUUAUAAUAAACUUAAAAAGCAAAGGGGAGACAAGUCGUAACAUGGUAAGUGUACCGGAAGGUGCACUUGGAAAAA
rnacentral:ncRNA from 1 species